AGCGCUGAGGGAGGUGACUGUGUGACAAAGCGCCGUGGUUGGGGCUCUGCGGUGGUUCCUAUGAGCUGCAGCGUUCAGAGGAUCCCACAACUGCGGGGUUGGGACUCCUGGAGGUCCUCCGGUCCAAACCCCUCCCCAAAGCAGUUCCCUGCAGCAGGAUUUGAGUCUAGGUGGGGUUGGAUCUCUCCAAAGCUCUCUUCAAUUCCUCUGUGCUCUGUGCCGUUCUCCUCCCAGCGCAGAAGUUUGUAUGUUCAGACAGAAUUCCCCGGGCUCCAGGCUGUGCCCACCGCCCCUUAUCCUGGUGCUGAACAGAGCCCAGCACUCCUCCUGACCUCCGCCCUUCAGAUCAGCACUGAUCAGCCCCCUCUCAGCCAGCUCUUCUCCAGGUUCUGCUCUCGGACCUGGAGCCACAUGGGCACGGCGCUGUGUCUGAACGAGGUGCUGCUGGGCUUGGGGCAGCUCCGUGCUCCCAUGUAUGAAGAUGUCUCUGGUGGAGCUGGGGAAGCAGCUGCUGGAAGCGGCGCGCAAAGGCGAAGAUGACGAAGUGCGGACGCUGAUGGCCAGCGGCGCUCCCUUCACCACGGACUGGCUCGGGACGUCCCCGCUCCACCUGGCGGCCCAGCACGGCCAUUACUCCACGGCCGAGGUGCUGCUCCGCGCCGGCGUCAGCAGAGACGCGCGGACCAAAGUGGACCGGACCCCCCUGCACAUGGCUGCGGCUGACGGACACGCCCACGUUGUAGACUUGUUAAUUAGGAACGGGGCUGAUGUGAAUGCCAAGGACAUGCUGAAAAUGACUGCUUUACACUGGGCAGCAGAACACAACCACCGGGACGUGGUGGAGCUGCUCGUCAGAUAUGGAGCUGAUGUCCACGCCUUCAGCAAGUUUGAUAAAUCACCCUUUGACAUUGCUUUGGACAAGAACGAUCCGGAGACCCUGGUGAUCCUGCAGGAAGCAAUGCAGCAGCAGGUGGAUGCACAACCAGGGAAAGCAGAUCCCGUCAGCAGCGCCCUGAGCGUCAGCUCACCGUUUGUUCUUACAGCUGGGGAUGUCCUCAGCCUCGCUGGUCUCAUCUGUGCAGCAAACACCAAAGGCGACGCAGAGGAGCUGCUGGCAGCUGAUCCCAUCCAUGCCGCGGGCAGCAGAGGGCAGCGCGUCGUCACCGUCGUCACCAACAGCACCGCCCUGGGCAGCCUGCAGCCAGCCGGCCUCGGCCAGCCCUGCGUCAUCAGCGUGCGGGAUGGGCCGGCAGCUGUAGUUGUAGCUGCUGAUCAGGCUGCAGAGGAGACAACAACUGGGGUCAGGGGCGAUGCAGAAGGAGGAGAAAAGCCACCGGCCAAGAGGCUGAAAGCAGAACAAAAUGGGAACGACGUGGAGGAAAGCGAGCACCGAGGGGGAAGCGCCCCAGCAGCAGCCCAGCACAGCACAGGGGGAGCAGAACAGCAUCAGCAAGGUGUGCACAGCUGUGUGAGCUCGGAGGACAGCGAGAGAACCGCGUUGGGAACGGAGCAGGUGGCCGACAGCGCUGCGGGGUCUGUCAGCUCCUAAUGCUGGGCUGAGGGAGCGGGGCUGGAGCAGAAACAGCACUGCUGGGGCAGCUGCAGCUGAGACAGCAAAGAGAGCUGGGGAUGUGGGGGCUGGGCUGGCCCCCCCCUGUGCCAUGGACCCCCUCCCUGUGCCAUGGACCCCCCCUGUGCCACAGCGUGCCUUGCACACACUGCAAGAGCCAGGCCAGCUCUGCAGACACGCCUGUCACUCUUUUACUGAGCAGUUCUUUUCUAAAAGUGCCCAAACCUUUUCUAACAACAGUUGUUUUCAUUGCUGGAA